AUUGAACGCUGGCGGCAUGCCUUUCACAUGCAAGUCGAACGGCAGCACGGGGGGUAACCCCUGGUGGCGAGUGGCGAACGGGUGAGUAAUAUAUCGGAACGUGUCCUGUAGCGGGGGAUAACCUAUCGAAAGAUGGACUAAUACCGCAUACGACCUACGGGUGAAAGCGGAGGACCGCAAGGCUUCGCACUAUAGGAGCGGCCGAUAUCGGAUUAGCUAGUUGGCGGGGUAACGGCCCACCAAGGCGACGAUCCGUAGCUGGUCUGAGAGGACGAUCAGCCACACUGGAACUGAGACACGGUCCAGACUCCUACGGGAGGCAGCAGUGGGGAAUUUUGGACAAUGGGCGCAAGCCUGAUCCAGCCAUGCCGCGUGAGUGAAGAAGGCCUUCGGGUUGUAAAGCUCUUUCGGCGGGGACGAAACGGUUCGUGCUAAUACCACGGACUACUGACGGUACCCGCAGAAGAAGCACCGGCUAACUACGUG
rnacentral:rRNA from 1 species